rnacentral:rRNA from 1 species
GAUACUAACCACCGUAAGCUGUUGUGAUUGGCCUUCGGGUUAACAUGGUGGCAAGCCGUGGGGCCUGAUGUGUGGUUCAAGCGAUGGGGUGACACAGUGGGGUAGCCAUGCCGCUUAGUGGAUUGUUGGUGUAAGCGUGUAGGUGAUGGUGUAGGUAAAUCCGCACUUGUUAGCUGAGACGUGAUGCGUAGCCUUAAUUGGUGAAGUUGGUGAUCCCGUGCUGUCGAGAAAAGCCUCUAGCGAUGUAUAUACUCGGCCCGUACCCCAAACCGACACAGGUAGUCAGGUUGAAAAUACUAAGGCGUUCGGGUGAACUGUGGUUAAGGAACUCGGCAAAAUGCCCCCGUAACUUCGGGAGAAGGGGGACCCUAUGGCGUGAACACCCAUUUGCGGUGGGAAGCGUUGUGGGGUCGCAGAGAAUAGAGGGAAGCGACUGUUUAUCAAAAACACAGGUCCAUGCGAAGACGUUAAGUUGAUGUAUAUGGACUGACGCCUGCCCGGUGCUGGAAGGUUAAGAGGACCGGUUAAUCAAGCUUUGCUUGGUGAAGCUGAGAAUUUAAGCCCCAGUAAACGGCGGUGGUAACUAUAACCAUCCUAAGGUAGCGAAAUUCCUUGUCGGGUAAGUUCCGACCUGCACGAAUGGCGUAACGACUUCCCUGCUGUCUCAACCACAGGCCCGGUGAAAUUGCACUACGAGUAAAGAUGCUCGUUACGCGCGGCAGGACGAAAAGACCCCGGGACCUUCACUAUAGCUUGGUAUUGGUGUUCGGUUCGGUUUGUGUAGGAUAGGUGGGAGACUAUGAAACAUGCACGCCAGUGUGUGUGGAGUCGUUGUUGAAAUACCACUCUGAUCGGAUUGGAUACCUUAACCUUGGCCCAUGAUCUGGGUUGGGGACAGUGCCUGGUGGGUAGUUUAACUGGGGCGGUUGCCUCCCAAAAUGUAACGGAGGCGCCCAAAGGUUCCCUCAGCCUGGUUGGCAAUCAGGUGGUGAGUGUAAGUGCACAAGGGAGCUUGACUGUGAGAGUGACAGCUCGAACAGGGACGAAAGUCGGGACUAGUGAUCCGGCACCUACUUGUGGAUGUGGUGUCGCUCAACGGAUAAAAGGUACCCCGGGGAUAACAGGCUGAUCUUCCCCAAGAGUCCAUAUCGACGGGAUGGUUUGGCACCUCGAUGUCGGCUCGUCGCAUCCUGGGGCUGGAGUAGGUCCCAAGGGUUGGGCUGUUCGCCCAUUAAAGCGGCACGCGAGCUGGGUUCAGAACGUCGUGAGACAGUUCGGUCUCUAUCCGCCGCGCGCGUUGAAACUUGAAGAAGGCUGUCCCUAGUACGAGAGGACCGGGACGGACGUACCUCUAG